AGGAACAUUACAAUAGAUUGAUCGUGCGAGUUAUCAUAUUAUUUUCCUUUCGUAUUCCGAAAAAACAUUUUGUUUUCGUAUAACUGACAUUUAAUCAUCUUAGUGAUCCGACGAUUUUAUAAUUAUUUAAAUAAUCUACAAUGUACUCGUAGUACGAUGAGGUGUAGUUAUAGGAGCAUACGUUACCAAGGGGAAAUGAAUUCUUGGAUAAGGUACUAAAUUUGUCUGCAACUCCUCUAAGCUGACAUUGACCGAACCUUCGAAUCUCAUCGACGCUGUGAUGCUCGAUAUUACCUGAGCUUGCAAUCGGUUGAGAUUCGUAUAAGUCGGAUUUUCCACGUUCAGAUUCCUACGAAUGUAAUAAAUGAAUAAAAAAGAUAUCUCAUAUA